CCUACGGGAGGCAGCAGUGAGGAAUAUUGGUCAAUGGACGAGCGUCUGAACCAGCCAAGUAGCGUGAAGGAUGACUGCCCUAUGGGUUGUAAACUUCUUUUAUAAAGGAAUAAAACGAGGCACGUGUGCCUUUUUGCAUGUACUUUAUGAAUAAGGAUCGGCUAACUCCGUGCCAGCAGCCGCGGUACUACGGAGGAUCCGAGCGUUAUCCGGAUUUAUUGGGUUUAAAGGGAGCGUAGAUGGGUUGUUAAGUCAGUUGUGAAAGUUUGCGGCUCAACCGUAAAAUUGCAAUUGAUACUGGCAGUCGUGAGUACAGUUGAGGUAGGCGGAAUUCGUGGUGUAGCGGUGAAAUGCUUAGAUAUCACGAAGAACCCCGAUUGCGAAGGCAGCUUACUAAACUGUGACUGACAUUGAUGCUCGAAAGUGUGGGUAUCAAACAGGAUUAGAUACCCCUGUAGUC
rnacentral:rRNA from 1 species